rnacentral:lncRNA from 1 species
AUCAGUGCCGGAACCUUCUCCUCAGAACCCAGUUUGACUCAGGCCAGGCAUUUCCGCUUCCUCCCCUUGGGCUGGACUUUGCGCUCGGGUUUCUUCCAAUCCUUCUUCCUGCCGCUUUUCUGCCCCAGCUUAAAUUCCAGGCUCACGAAUGUUCCAGCUGGGAAGGGCGUGUCCACCGUGCCUUCCAUACUGUUCUCCCGGAAGGCCACUGCAUGAGCGGGUGGCUACCUCCAGGGCUACUUGGAGACCAUUGCGCUGGGCCCCCUGAGCUCGGCCCCGCCCACGCCCUCCGCUCCCACUUUUAAUCAUAUUAGAUGAUAUUAAAACCAUUACAAAGUUUACUAUUUUGUGUCAUAAUAAAGGAUCAUAACGUUAAAUAACUUCUUUCAAAAGUUUGACUAAUUAGGCAUGUAGAUAAAUGGCAGCAUGUUGACCAGUAUAUAGAGGAUACACACCAUUUUCAAAGACCGAACAAAAAUUUAAUUCAUUUUUAUUUAUUUUUGGUAGGAGAAGCAGCUGUAUUAGCUGGGGAUAUAGUGGGGUUCUCUCCCUGGGAGGUGGGGUCUUCCACUGGUCACCCGCGACAGUGGUCCAGGAGGCGCCAUGCAGUGCUGGGCUCAGCUGGGGGCCGGGCCUUGGAGAAGACGAA